UGAAGAAAUUUGAAAAGUGUGUUUUUUGUAUUCCUUCUUGUAUUACGGUAGUUAGGAAGAUAAAAAGAUUUUUUUUCUCGAAAAAAGAAGAUCUAGAUUGUUUUUGGAUAAAGAAAAGUUCUUAGUCAUUUAAUAAAUAUAUUUUUUAGAGAUAAAAAAUCAAUGCUAGAAGUGAAAUUUUUUCGAUUCUUUUUUUCUAGGUUUAUUUUUGCUAAGUAAAAGCUUAGUUUGUAAAGUUGGAAUUUUGAUAGAAAUUUUUGGAGUAGUUUUAAAUUUUAUAAGAUUUCAAAUUUAUUUGAUGUUUUUAAAAAAUACAGAAUUUUAGAGCAAAUUUUUAUAAAGGCUAUUUGAUGAGUAAAUGAAAUUUUAGAUUUUUAAAAUUAGUUAAUUAGUAUAUAAAAAAGUGAUAAAGAACUAGAUUGUUAUCCAACUGUUUAUUAAAAACAUUUCUUUUUUUAUAAAAGGUAGUUGCUGCUCCAUGAAUUGCUGUUUAAAUAGCUGCAGUAUUUUGACUGUGCAAAGGUAGCAUAAUUAUUUGUCUGUUAAUUACAGAAUUGUUUGAAUGAGGUUAUGAGAUAAGUUUUUUUUUAUUAUUUUGGAAAAAUUUAAAUUUUAAAGUGAAGAUUCUUUAAGAAAUUUGAUUAAGAAUUAAGACGAAAAGACCCUAAAGAGUUUUUACUAAGGCAAAAAUAUUUUGUUUAAUUAGUUUUUAAUGGGGAAUUAGAGUUUUUUUGAAUUUUAGAAUUUAUAAAAAAAACUUCCUUAGGGAUAACAGGGUAAUAGAAUUUUAGAGUCCUUAUCACAAAUUUUGUUUACUACCUCGAUGUUGAAUCAUAAUAAAAGCUUUGGUGCAGGUGUUUAGUAUUUUAGUCUGUUCGACUAUUAAAAUUUUUCGUGAUUUGAGUUUAGACCGAUGUAAAUCAGGUUGGUUUUUAUCUAAUAUUAAAGAUGUUGUACGAAAGGACUCAUUCUUUUUUAUGUAUUUUUUAUAGCAAAGAUGCAAUUUUGUUUUGAACUGAAAUUUCAAAAAGAAAUAAUUUUAUUUUAAGAAAUUUAUGUAGUAAAAGGUUUGGCCCUAUAG
rnacentral:rRNA from 1 species